CCAUGGUUGAUGGUGGUCAGACCUCUACCAGGAGUACUGGGACAAGAGGCCUGGGAAGCUGAUGGACAGAAUAUUUACCACCCUGCAAGGAGAAGGCCAUCCACUACUCCACUGCUCUGGCCAGCAAGAACAUCUUGUCCUUUGUUUGCUGUGACCAACUCAACCCCCUGCUGCUGGAGCCUGGCCUGGCAUCUAUCCUAGGCAGAAGGCCAGGCUUUCCCAAAUCCAGCAAGCACAUCGUGAGCAGCCUUGGGAUUCAGAAGGCUGGAGUGGCAGACAUCUGGCCCAGCUGGGCACAGACCCCCAAGGCGUUGUUCACCAGGGCUCAGUUCCAACCAUUACUGUGAUGUCACACACCGUCAAGGAUCCAGCCCAUCUGUCAGCGGAGCCUCGAAGUUUCUUCUGGAUCCUGCUGCCGCAGCUGAUUGGUGUGUGGUGUCUGCCUAAAGGGCUGGUCUGCAGCUGCUGAUUCGUGGUUGGUGUUUGCCAGUGGACUGCCGAUAUCCAGGCAACGAAGAUUGGAAUCUCCCCAGAGAACUAUUUCUUUUUUUU
rnacentral:sRNA from 1 species